GAUGAACGCUCGCGGGAGGCCUAACACAUGCAAGCCGAGCGGUAUUGUUUCUUCGGACAUGAGAGAGCGGCGUACGGGUGCGUAACACGUGUGCAACCUGCCUUUAUCUGGGGGAUAGCCUUUCGAAAGGAAGAUUAAUACUCCAUAAUAUAUUGAACGGCAUCGUUUAAUAUUGAAAGCUCCGGCGGAUAGAGAUGGGCACGCGCAAGAUUAGCUAGUUGGUGAGGUAACGGCUCACCAAGGCGAUGAUCUUUAGGGGGCCUGAGAGGGUGAUCCCCCACACUGGGACUGAGACACGGACCAGACUCCUACGGGAGGCAGCAGUGAGGAAUAUAGGUCAAUGGGUGCAAGCCUGAACCAGCCAUCCCGCGUGAAGGACGACUGCGCUAUGGGUUGUAAACUUCUUUUGGAUAGGGAUAAACCUACCCUCGAGAGGGUAGCUGAAGGUACUAUACGAAUAAGCACCGGCUAACUCCGUG
rnacentral:rRNA from 1 species